GACGAACCGUGCGAACGUUGUUCGGAAUCACUGGGCGUAAAGGGUGCGUAGGCGGGUCUUUAAGUCAGGGGUGAAAUCCUGGAGCUCAACUCCAGAACUGCCUUUGAUACUGAGGAUCUUGAGUUCGGGAGAGGUGAGUGGAACUGCGAGUGUAGAGGUGAAGUUCGUAGAUAUUCGCAAGAACACCAGUGGCGAAGGCGGCUCACUGGCCCGGUACUGACGCUGAGGUGCGAAAGCGUGGGGAGCAAACAGGG
rnacentral:rRNA from 1 species